UGAACAUGUUCGCUUUUGUCGAGUGGAAACGAGAAACGGAAUUAAAGUUGGAGCAUUGUUCCAACAUCACACAUAAAAAACUUAGAUAAAAUAAUGAUGAUUUUUUGGACGGACAAGAUGACAGAUCUGUAUAUUUAACCGAGUGGAGAGGUGGACUGAAGAAAAAACCUCAAUGCGGAUGGCAUUUGUAUGAGGCAAUGGCGCAUAAAGUUGCAGAGAGAGUCCACCCUAGAAAAACCAACGAGGACUCAACAUCAGUCCAGUCCAAAACUUCUGAGCAAAAGAAAAUGCAGGCCAAGCUUUUUAAGAAUAAGGAAGUUGUUCUGGCGGAAGCAGAUAUUUAACUUCAUAUAUUCUUGAAAUUCACCCGGGCUCAGGAAUUUGUGUUGUGGUCAUGCAAACAGCCCCACUGCUAUGGCAUGCUUCUUCUUGGAGUAUUUUGACACUUUUGCUAAAGCGCAAUCUCAGAGGUGGCAAGUCUAAAAAAAGCAAGCCCUGGGGAAACAAAAGAGGCCUUGGACAGAACAAAAAUUUAUGCAAUAAUGAGUAUGUAUAUUAUUUUUU